AUUUUGGAGAGUUUGAUCCUGGCUCAGAGUGAACGCUGGCGGCGUGGAUUAGGCAUGCAAGUCGUGCGAUGAUAUAUUAAGUAAGACCGCAAGGUCAAAUGAGAUAUAUCACAGCGGCAAACGGGUGAGUAACACGUGAGUAAUUUUCCCUUGAGACGGGCAUAGCAUCGUGAAAACGGUGGUAAUACCCGAUGGUCAAAUGGAAGUGCAUACUUCUAUUUGUAAAGGUGGGGACCGCAAGGCCUGCCACUUAAGGAUGAGCUCGCGUCCUAUCAGCUAGUUGGUGAGGUAAUGGCUCACCAAGGCUUAUGACGGGUAGCCGACCU
rnacentral:rRNA from 1 species